rnacentral:lncRNA from 1 species
CUGAUAACUGAGCAUCACGACUUUGCUGGCCACGUUCUGAUGGAGCAUCUCGCAGGACGCUCAAUAACGUCUGAGAAAAGUACUUCAGAGUAUUUGCAAUGUCAGUCCCAGAGGGCACAGGGUAAAUGUUGUGGAGAACCCGGUUGUGGUAUUCUUGGAGGUAACGGAUUUUGGAAGCAAACUGCUCCGCCUUGGUGGACAUGCUGCCCGCGGGGCGGCCCCAAGCGCCUGCCCCAGC